rnacentral:rRNA from 1 species
UACAGAGGUCUCAAGCGUUGUUCGGAUUCAUUGGGCGUAAAGGGUGCGUAGGCGGCUCAUUAAGUCUGGGGUGAAAGCCCGUUGCUCAACAACGGAACUGCCCUGGAAACUGGUGAGCUUGAGUACAGACGAGGGUGGCGGAAUGGAUGCUGUAGCGGUGAAAUGCAUAGAUAGCAUCCAGAACCCCCGAUUGCGAAGCAGCUGCCUAGACUGUAACUGACGUGAGGCACGAAAAGCGUGGGGGAGCGAACAGG